CAGUCGCCGCGGUAACACGUAGGGUGCGAGCGUUGUCCGGAAUUACUGGGCGUAAAGGGCUCGUAGGUGGUUUGUCGCGUCGUCUGUGAAAUUCCGGGGCUUAACUCCGGGCGUGCAGGCGAUACGGGCAUAACUUGAGUACUGUAGGGGUAACUGGAAUUCCUGGUGUAGCGGUGAAAUGCGCAGAUAUCAGGAGGAACACCGAUGGCGAAGGCAGGUUACUGGGCAGUUACUGACGCUGAGGAGCGAAAGCAUGGGUAGCGAACAGGAUUAGAUACCCCGGUAGUCCCUGUCUCUUAUA
rnacentral:rRNA from 1 species